GCCAGGUGUGGUGGCGCACACCUGUGAUCCUAGCACCUCAGGAGGCUGAGGUAGGAGAAUCACAAGUUCAAAACCAGACCCUCAGCAACUUAGUGAGACCCUGUCUCAA
rnacentral:sRNA from 1 species